rnacentral:rRNA from 1 species
AACGAACGCUGGCGGCAGGCUUAACACAUGCAAGUCGAGCGCCCCGCAAGGGGAGCGGCAGACGGGUGAGUAACACGUGGGAAUCUACCAUCCCUACGGAACAACUCCGGGAAACUGGAGCUAAUACCGUAUACGCCCUUUGGGGGAAAGAUCUAUCGGGGAUGGAUGAGCCCGCGUUGGAUUAGCUAGUUGGUGGGGUAAAGGCCUACCAAGGCGACGAUCCAUAGCUGGUCUGAGAGGAUGAUCAGCCACAUUGGGACUGAGACACGGCCCAAACUCCUACGGGAGGCGGCAGUGGGGAAUAUUGGACAAUGGGCGCAAGCCUGAUCCAGCCAUGCCGCGUGAAUGAUGAAGGCCUUAGGGUUGUAAAGUUCUUUCACCGAUGAAGAUAAUGACGGUAGUCGGAGAAGAAGCCCCGGCUAACUUCGUGCCAGCAGCCGCCGUAA